AGGGCGUGCCUCGCGUCUUACACAUGCAAGUCGAGGGGCAUCAGGAAGAAAGCUUGCUUUCUUUGCUGGCGACCGGCGCACGGGUGAGUAACACGUAUCCAACCUGCCCUUUACUCGGGGAUAGCCUUUCGAAAGAAAGAUUAAUACCCGAUAGUAUAAUGAUUCCGCAUGGUUUCAUUAUUAAAGGAUUCCGGUAAAGGAUGGGGAUGCGUUCCAUUAGGUUGUUGGUGAGGUAACGGCUCACCAAGCCUUCGAUGGAUAGGGGUUCUGAGAGGAAGGUCCCCCACAUUGGAACUGAGACACGGUCCAAACUCAUACGGGAGGCAGCAGUGAGGAAUAUUGGUCAAUGGGCGAUGGCCUGAACCAGCCAAGUAGCGUGAAGGAUGACUGCCCUAUGGGUUGUAAACUUCUUUUAUAUUAGAAUAAAGUGCAGUAUGUAUACUGUUUUGUAUGUAUAAUAUGAAUAAGGAUCGGCUAACUCCGUGCCAGCAGCCGCGGUAAUACGGAGGAUCCGAGCGUUAUCCGGAUUUAUUGGGUUUAAAGGGAGCGUAGGUGGACUGGUAAGUCAGUUGUGAAAGUUUGCGGCUCAACCGUAAAAUUGCAGUUGAUACUGUCAGUCUUGAGUACAGUAGAGGUGGGCGGAAUUCGUGGUGUAGCGGUGAAAUGCUUAGAUAUCACGAAGAACUCCGAUUGCGAAGGCAGCUCACUGGACUGCAACUGACACUGAUGCUCGAAAGUGUGGGUAUCAAACAGGAUUAGAUACCCUGGUAGUCCACACAGUAAACGAUGAAUACUCGCUGUUUGCGAUAUACAGUAAGCGGCCAAGCGAAAGCAUUAAGUAUUCCACCUGGGGAGUACGCCGGCAACGGUGAAACUCAAAGGAAUUGACGGGGGCCCGCACAAGCGGAGGAACAUGUGGUUUAAUUCGAUGAUACGCGAGGAACCUUACCCGGGCUUAAAUUGCAGUGGAAUGAUGUGGAAACAUGUCAGUGAGCAAUCACCGCUGUGAAGGUGCUGCAUGGUUGUCGUCAGCUCGUGCCGUGAGGUGUCGGCUUAAGUGCCAUAACGAGCGCAACCCUUAUCUUCAGUUACUAACAGGUCAUGCUGAGGACUCUGGAGAGACUGCCGUCGUAAGAUGUGAGGAAGGUGGGGAUGACGUCAAAUCAGCACGGCCCUUACGUCCGGGGCUACACACGUGUUACAAUGGGGGGUACAGAAGGCAGCUACCUGGUGACAGGAUGCUAAUCCCAAAAGCCUCUCUCAGUUCGGAUCGAAGUCUGCAACCCGACUUCGUGAAGCUGGAUUCGCUAGUAAUCGCGCAUCAGCCACGGCGCGGUGAAUACGUUCCCGGGCCUUGUACACACCGCCCGUCAAGCCAUGGGAGCCGGGGGUACCUGAAGUACGUAACCGCAAGGAGCGUCCUAGGUAAAACUGUGC
rnacentral:rRNA from 1 species